AGCAGCCGCGGUAAUUCCAGCUCCAAUAGCGUAUAUUAAAGUUGUUGCAGUUAAAAAGCUCGUAGUUGAAUUUCGGAAUCUGUCCGUCGGUCGGGCUUCACUGUCCGUACUGGUGUGGUGGGUUCUUACCUUCUGAAUAACCAGCAUGCCAUUCAUUUGGUGCGCUGGGGAAGCAGGACUAUUACCUUGAAAAAUUAGAGUGCUCAAAGCAGGCUAGUGCCUGAAUACAUUAGCAUGGAAUAAUAAAAUAGGACGGCAUGGUUCUAUUUUGUUGGUUUCUAGGAUCACCGUAAUGAUUAAUAGGGAUAGUUGGGGGCAUUAGUAUUCAAUUGUCAGAGGUGAAAUUCUUGGAUUUAUUGAAGACUAACUUCUGCGAAAGCAUUUGCCAAGGAUGUUUUCAUUAAUCAAGAACGAAAGUUAGGGGAUCGAAGGCGAUCAGAUACCGUCGUAGUCUUAACCAUAAACUAUGCCGAC
rnacentral:rRNA from 1 species